GGGGAAUUUUGGACAAUGGGGGAAACCCUGAUCCAGCCAUUCCGCGUGUGUGAUGAAGGCCUUCGGGUUGUAAAGCACUUUUGGCAGGAAAGAAAUAGCCCGGGUUAAUACCCUGGGUUGAUGACGGUACCUGCAGAAUAAGCACCGGCUAACUACGUGCCAGCAGCCGCGGUAAUACGUAGGGUGCAAGCGUUAAUCGGAAUUACUGGGCGUAAAGCGUGCGCAGGCGGUUCGGAAAGAAAGAUGUGAAAUCCCAGGGCUCAACCUUGGAAUGGCAUUUUUAACUCCCGAACUAGAGUGUGUCAGAGGGGGGUGGAAUUCCGCGUGUAGCAGUGAAAUGCGUAGAUAUGCGGAGGAACACCGAUGGCGAAGGCAGCCCCCUGGGAUAACACUGACGCUCAGGCACGAAAGCGUGGGGAGCAAAC
rnacentral:rRNA from 1 species